UACAGAGGGCGCGAGCGUUGUCCGGAAUCACUGGGCGUAAAGGGCGCGUAGGUGGCCACCAUAAGGCCGCGGUGAAAGUUCGGGGCUCAACCCCGGAUCGGCCGCGGCGACUGUGGGGCUGGGGUACUGUAGAGGCAGGUGGAAUUCCGGGUGUAGCGGUGGAAUGCGUAGAGAUCCGGAAGAACACCAGUGGCGAAGGCGGCUCACUGGCCCGGUACUGACGCUGAGGUGCGAAAGCGUGGGGAGCAAACAGG
rnacentral:rRNA from 1 species